UUUACUCAAAGCGAAUAGUACUACGGGUGAAAGACAGACGGAGAGAGGGAUGAAUAAGAAAUUUGGAGGGAAGCAGGCGACGGGAACUCCGUCGUUGGCAUGGUCGUGUGUCGUUGUCAUUGUGUCGCUUCUCGCUGGCGCUUCUGUUGUGCAUAAUAUAUUCAAGCCUGAUUUGACAAUGCCUCCUGGAAGCACACAUGGGACUGAGCAGGAACAAGUAGAGAAGACAUGAGUUCCAAAACUGGAGCACCAUGAAACUGGCAUUAUAUUUUUUCCUUUUGAAUUACUUGUAAUGCUUGAACCCUAUUUUCCAAGCUAAAGGAAAGGGCAUUCCCUUAUUUCGCAUGACUGUACAAUUCAAUUAACUAUUAGAGCAUGACAACAAUUUUUGUUUGCAGA